CCUACGGGAGGCAGCAGUGGGGACUAUUGCACAAUGGGGGAAACCCUGAUGCAGCGACGCCGCGUGCGUGAAGACGUAUUUCGGUAUGUAAAGCUCUAUCAGCAGGGAAGAAAAUGACGGUACAUGAUUAAGAAGCCCCGGCUAACUACGUGCCAGCAGCCGCGGUAAUACGGAGGGGGCAAGCGGUAUCCGGAUUUACUGGGUGAAAAGGGUGCGUAGGCGGAAUGCCAAGUCAGCGGUAAAAUCGCGGGGCUCAACCUCGCUCCGCCGUUGAAACUGGCGUUCUUGAGUGGGCGAGAAGUAUGCGGAAUGCGUGGUGUAGCGGUGAAAUGCAUAGAUAUCACGCAGAACUCCGAUUGCGAAGGCAGCAUACCGGCGCCCAACUGACGCUGAAGCACGAAAGCGUGGGUAUCGAACAGGAUUAGAUACCCGGGUAGUC
rnacentral:rRNA from 1 species